AAAGUACCUACAUGAGCAUGGUGAGAUGUUGAAGAGCAUAUAAAAUAUUAUACAAAAUAUAGAUCAAAAGGCCUUUUCAAUGUUAAAAUCAUAUCUGCUAAAUCCGCAAUACAGAUCAGAUGCGGAUCAAAUUUAGUCUAUUCACUGAGCAUGCAAAUUUGCACAUCAUUGUCACAAAGGAGAGUGAUUGAGG